GUGGAGUAACCAUUUGGAGCUAGCCGUCGAAGGUGGGACAAAUGAUUGGGGUGAAGUCGUAACAAGGUAGCCGUAUCGGAAGGUGCGGCUGGAUCACCUCCUUUCUAAGGA
rnacentral:rRNA from 3 species